UAGAGGCUACAGAGGAGAGGGGAAUCGUACGUCGACGACCACCUGAUGCGUGAGGUGGUCGAUCAGCACCAAACGGCGGCUGGCGGAGCCUGGGCCCAGACCGCUUUCUUUCCUCAGGAUUCUGGUGGUGUUACUGUGAAUAAAGCCGUCUUUGAUCACUGGCAUCUAUGAUGAACCCAUGACUCCUGGACAGUGCAGUCUUGUGAGCGUACAAUGGCCGUGUACGCAAAAGGUGGGGUAGGACAGCAGAAUGAGAUGCGGGUGCACUUACAAUUGCCAGAGAUGAGUUCCUGAGUUGUGGAUGAACUUGGCGUGAUGACUGCCGUCUCUCCUGACAUCAAGAUAAGGAUAAUUGGUAACUCCUAGGCAUGGGAUAGAGAGAUGGCAAGCCAUGGCAGCUGCCUGUUUGGUUCCAUGCUUCUUCCUUCAAGACUUGGAUGUAUGUGCUAUUGGAGGUUCACCUUCACUUGUUAAUCCUAUCUACUCAUGUCAUUAAUAGUAUAAGAAUGUAGUUCAAAAGAAAAAGAAGCAUUUUGGGUGGAAAUACUUGUCAAUGAUGAACAAAAUAAAGAGAAUUCUUUUUUGUCA